AUUGAACGCUGGCGGCAGGCUUAACACAUGCAAGUCGAGCGGGGUGAUGGUGCUUGCACUAUCACUUAGCGGCGGACGGGUGAGUAAUGCUUAGGAAUCUGCCUAUUAGUGGGGGACAACAUCUCGAAAGGGAUGCUAAUACCGCAUACGUCCUACGGGAGAAAGCAGGGGAUCACUUGUGACCUUGCGCUAAUAGAUGAGCCUAAGUCGGAUUAGCUAGUUGGUGGGGUAAAGGCCUACCAAGGCGACGAUCUGUAGCGGGUCUGAGAGGAUGAUCCGCCACACUGGGACUGGGACACGGCCCAGACUCCUACGGGAGGUAGCAGUGGGGAAUAUUGGACAAUGGGGGGAACCCUGAUCCAGCCAUGCCGCGUGUGUGAAGAAGGCCUUAUGGUUGUAAAGCACUUUAAGCGAGGAGGAGGCUCUUUUGGUUAAUACCCAAGAUGAGUGGACGUUACUCGCAGAAUAAGCACCGGCUAACUCUGUGCCAGCCGCUGCCGUAA
rnacentral:rRNA from 1 species